UUUUACCUGAGAUGUUGGUUGGAUGUUUAACCUUAACCUACAAUUAGUAUACGGGAGUCUGUGUAUCCAUAUGAAAAUCGAGCCUUCGUCUUGUUGGUGGAUUGAAGUAUGAAUUAAGACACCCACCUGCGUGAGUGCAGGUGUAAGGUUAAAUCUAACGGCAUUUUGGGGCAUGG
rnacentral:other from 1 species